GAUCCUGGCUCAGGAUGAACGCUGGCGGCGUGCUUAACACAUGCAAGUCGAACGAAGCGCUUAAGAUUGAUUCUUCGGAUGAUUUCUUUUGUGACUUAGUGGCGGACGGGUGAGUAACGCGUGGGUAACCUGCCUCACACAGGGGGAUAACAGUUAGAAAUGACUGCUAAUACCGCAUAACCCGAUAGGAUCGCAUGAUCCAGACGGAAAAGAUUUAUCGGUGUGAGAUGGACCCGCGU
rnacentral:rRNA from 1 species